ACUCAAAGGAAUUGACGGGGGCCCGCACAAGCAGCGGAGCGUGUGGUUUAAUUCGAUGCUACGCGAAGAACCUCACCCAGGCUUGACAUGCAUGUGGUACUGAUGUGAAAGCAAAGGGACCCUUCGGGGAGCAUGCACAGGUGUUGCACGGCCGUCGUCAGCUCGUGCCGUGAGGUGUUGGGUUAAGUCCCGCAACGAGCGCAACCCCUGUCGCCAGUUGUACUUUUCUGGCGAGACUGCCGAGAAAUCCUCGGAGGAAGGAGGGGACGAUGUCAGGUCAGCGUGGCCCUUACGCCUGGGGCUACACACACGCUACAAUGGGUGGUACAAAGGGCAGCCAAGCCGCGAGGCGGAGCAAAUCCCAUCAAAGCCAUCCUCAGUUCGGAUUGCAGGCUGAAACCCGCCUGCAUGAAGCCGGAGUUGCUAGUAACCGCAGGUCAGCAUUACUGCGGUGAAUACGUUCCCGGGCCUUGCACACACCGCCCGU
rnacentral:rRNA from 1 species